rnacentral:rRNA from 1 species
UACGAAGGGAGCUAGCGUUGUUCGGAAUCACUGGGCGUAAAGCGCACGUAGGCGGAUUUGUCAGUCAGGGGUGAAAUCCCGGGGACUCAACCUCGGAACUGCCUUUGAUACUGAGGAUCUUGAGUUCGGGAGAGGUGAGUGGAACUGCGAGUGUAGAGGUGAAAUUCGUAGAUAUUCGCAAGAACACCAGUGGCGAAGGCGGCUCACUGGCCCGAUACUGACGCUGAGGCACGAAAGCGUGGGGAGCAAACAGGG